UACGGAGGGUGCAAGCGUUGUUCGGAAUCACUGGGCGUAAAGGGCGCGUAGGCGGUCGUGACAAGUCACUUGUGAAAUCUCCGGGCUUAACUCGGAACGGUCAAGUGAUACUGUCGGACUAGAGUACAGAAGGGGCAACUGGAAUUCUCGGUGUAGCGGUGAAAUGCGUAGAUAUCGAGAGGAACACCUGCGGCGAAGGCGGGUUGCUGGGCUGAUACUGACGCUGAGGCGCGAAAGCCAGGGGAGCGAACGGG
rnacentral:rRNA from 1 species